rnacentral:rRNA from 1 species
AUUGAACGCUGGCGGCAGGCUUAACACAUGCAAGUCGAACGAGUGGCGGACGGGUGAGUAAUGCUUGGGAAUCUAGCUUAUGGAGGGGGAUAACUACGGGAAACUGUAGCUAAUACCGCGUACCAUAGGAUGAGCCCAAGUGGGAUUAGGUAGUUGGUGAGGUAAAGGCUCACCAAGCCGACGAUCUCUAGCUGGUCUGAGAGGAUGACCAGCCACACGGGGACUGAGAGACGGCCCAGCUGCCUACGGGAGGCAGCAGUGGGGAAUAUGGCGCAAUGGGGGAAACCUGACGCAGCCAUGCCGCGGGAAUGAAGAAGGCUUUCGGGUUGUAAAGUUCUUUCGGUAGCGAGGCGUUAACUACAGAAGAAGCACCGGCUAACUUCGUGCCAGCCGCCGCGGUAAUAC